rnacentral:rRNA from 1 species
GAUUUCUGAUGUGACCUGCCUGGCCCGCCGUGGUUACACGUGUGAGUGCCGGGUGUUGUCCGUCUGUCUUCCUGUUCGUCGCUGCCCUCUUCACUGAGUGGUGGUUGCACGUUGCAGGAUCUUUUACUUUGAACAAAUUAGAGUGUUUCAAGCAGGCUUUAUGCUAUGAAUACAUUAGCAUGGAAUAAUAAUUUAGGACUUCGGUUCUAUUUUGUUGGUUUCUAGGACUGAAGUAAUGAUUGAUAGGGAUAGUUGGGGGUGCUAGUAUUCAGCGGCCAGAGGUGAAAUUCUCGGAUUCGCUGAAGACUAACUUAUGCGAAAGCAUU